UGAGUUCUUCUGGAGCAAAUGUUCGCAACAACUUGAUGCGUUUGGCUGCGGCCAUACUGUAUGCAGCCUGUUUUUCAGACAUAAUCCGCAAGAUGUCGCUACUGCACGGCGUUUGCGCGCCAAUUCCGAAAUGACUGACAUGGGGAGGAGGAUGGCGGAAGGAUGAUAGUCCUCAUCUUUGGAAACUGUCUUCUUCUUGACCCGGUCGGCCACUUUGCUCCUCCUCCAUUUUCGGAAGAGAGCUCUCAGAAUUUCACAACCAAAUUGCAGCACCUCAAAGAUGGUGAUGACUGAAAUCCCGACGUACAGCCCUAACAGGCCUCCGAUGCCGCUCAGGAGUUCUUCAAACAGAUAUCCCUCAUGCUCCCGGAUCUCUUCAAACAGUUACCUGGAAGUACACAUGGAGCCGGACCAGGUUCUGCUUGACUUCCUCGGCCGUCCUGGGCAGGUUCUUGGCGCGGCUGCGGCUGUGGAUGUUCUGCAGCACGUACGGCAGGUAGUUAUCUGACGGCCAUGUUGAUGACGACAUCCAUAUGUUGUAGACCUCAUCCUGGGAGGUGACGCCACGGUGAGAGUGCGGUCUCCAAUGUAAGUUAUGUUUAAUUGUUUAUGUUAAAUUGUACAAUGUCGUCUGAAAUGGGGAACCAAUGUGACCCCCGACCCCAUUUUUG